rnacentral:rRNA from 1 species
CGUAGGGCGCAAGCGUUGUCCGGAAUUAUUGGGCGUAAAGAGCUCGUAGGCGGUUUGUCGCGUCUGCUGUGAAAGCCCCGGGGCUUAACCCCGGGUGUGCAGUGGGUACGGGGCAGACUAGAGUGCAGUAGGGGAGACUGGAAUUCCUGGUGUAGCGGUGGAAUGCGCAGAUAUCAGGAGGAACACCGAUGGCGAAGGCAGGUCUCUGGGCUGUUACUGACGCUGAGGAGCGAAAGCAUGGGAGCGAACAGGAUU